rnacentral:rRNA from 1 species
UACGUAGGGUGCGAGCGUUAAUCGGAAUUACUGGGCGUAAAGCGUGCGCAGGCGGCCUUAAAAGUCAGAUGUGAAAUCCCCGAGCUCAACUUGGGAACUGCGUUUGAAACUCUAAGGCUAGAAUAUGUCAGAGGGGGGUAGAAUUCCACGUGUAGCAGUGAAAUGCGUAGAGAUGUGGAGGAAUACCAAUGGCGAAGGCAGCCCCCUGGGAUAAUAUUGACGCUCAUGCACGAAAGCGUGGGGAGCGAACAGG